GUUUAGAUAAGAUAAAAUAAAUCAUACUUCUUUAGGAGAAGUAAAUCCUUUGUAAUUAGGUCUAAACU
rnacentral:tRNA from 1 species